UUUCCGUAGGUGAACCUGCGGAAGGAUCAUUAUUGAAUGAAACACUUCUGGCUUUAUGCUGUUGUGCUGGCCCUUUGGGCAAUGUGCACACGGCUCUGGUCACUUGUUUCUUCUGUUCCACCUGUGCACUGCCUGUAGACACGCUGUGUCUAUGAUAUUUGUUAACACACAACAAUGUUAGUUGGCAUGUUAUAUAUAAUAAUAAAAUAUACAACUUUCAACAACGGAUCUCUUGGCUCUCGCAUCAAUGAAGAACGCAGC
rnacentral:misc_RNA from 1 species